rnacentral:rRNA from 1 species
GUGUCAGCCGCCGCGGUAAUACGAAGGGGGCUAGCGUUGCUCGGAAUCACUGGGCGUAAAGGGCGCGUAGGCGGCCGAUCAAGUCAGGGGUGAAAGCCUGUGGCUCAACCACAGAAUUGCCUUUGAUACUGUUUGGCUCGAGACCGGAAGAGGUUGGUGGAACUGCGAGUGUAGAGGUGAAAUUCGUAGAUAUUCGCAAGAACACCAGUGGCGAAGGCGGCCAACUGGUCCGGUUCUGACGCUGAGGCGCGAAAGCGUGGGGAGCAAACAGGAUUAGAAACCCGCGUAGUCC